rnacentral:lncRNA from 1 species
UUUGAAUGUUCGUUUGAUUCCGUUAAGAUAAUAGCUGGUUCACUGUCAGAUGCAGACUGAUCAGUUAAAACCUUAAUCACUGCCUGUCUCCUCACACGGCACUUAUUUUUUAAGAGAUUAAUCCCCUCAGCCCUGCUCCAGCUCACAUUGGGCUAGAAAAAAAAGGCAAGGUUUGUGCUAUCCUUAUUAUUAUUAUUGUUGUUAUUGUCAACCUCGUUACUCCGCAUAUUAACUCCUUCCCUCUGUUCUUUCAACCGUUUCUUUUUUUUUUCCCCUCUGGGUUCCCAAUCCUCCCCUCAGCUCACGUGGAUUAUCUGUCUCUCAAUUUCUCUGUGUCUCUGUCUCUGUCUGUCUCUGUCUCUGUCUCUGUCUCUCUCUGUCUCUCUCUCUGUCUCUGUCUCUCUCUCUCUCUCUCUCUCUCUCUCUCUCUCUCUCUCUCUCUCUCGGAUGUGGCUCUCCAGAUAGAGUGUGAGCGCAACAGCCCCAUACACGCCCCGCUGCCUCCCCAUGCACACUGCAUGUUCCGGCACGCUUUUCCGGGUUAGGAGAGCGUCCAGGCACACAGACCAGGGCGGCUGGAGGAUGCAGCUCUGUGCCGUGGGCUGAGCCCGCACUUUGGAGUCAGACUUGCCCCAGUCCUCCCUCAGAUACUCACGUGCUGUGUAACCUUGGAGAGGAGCCUCAGUUCCUCAUCUGUAAAGUGGGGGUGAGGACGCUCACUUCUGGGAGGCCAUGAGCUCUGAGCACCUGAAAACAGAUUCCACGGAAAGAUCCUUUCCAGAGGUUGUCCAGUCUCUCCCUGAAGAUGUCACAUCCUCUCCAGGCCAUUUUGCAGAUGCUCCUCACUUGAUGACCUGUCUCAGCAGACCAGCCAUGCCCAGUGUCAGGAAGGAGAUCCUGCUUGACUGUAGGGGAAGAAACUAGAUGAAGAAAAGUUCCCCAAAGAGUGAACUCUGCAAGUUUCGGAGAAUGAUUUGCAUGGAGAAAGGCAGGAUUGAAGUGGCUGGAGCCUGUGACUUUGUCUUUGCCAUCUCUAUGCGUCAUUGUUUAUUUUUGAACCUACUGUUUAAACACCGGAAUGUUUAGAACUACAGGAGCUCAUGAGAACUGUGACCGAAAGCAGCUCUAAUGACUCUGAAUUGUUACAAACUUCCUCUCGAAAUGGAGUGUAGCCGGGUUCUGUGUGUUCCGGCCUGACUAUAUACGCGGGAGUUCUUCAAAUGAACUCCCGUGCCUCGGCCGAUCCUUAUGGAAGGAUAAGUAAUAGAGACGCGCUCACUGGAAGCUCACGUAGAUGGUACUGAAACUCAACAGUAACCACAGCAAUUACUUAGAACACAGCACAACAGAAGACUUUUUUCAGGGACAAGUAUUUUAUCACUGACACAGAAUUGCUGGCGCACGGUGAUAAGAAAAAGGCAGAUUGACUUGGAGGCAAUUUUAUUAUUGUUUUAAAGUUCUUUACAGACAAUGAACCCUUUCAUUGCCUGCAGCCAAGGUGGACGGCUCCCACUGUCCCCACCCCUGCUUCUCCAUUGGGGUUUGCACAUUCGCAGCCCCAAAUUCCAGAAACCUUUGAUCCAAACCCUUCCCAAUCCAGGCAAGUUAAGAAAACAAAGGCAAAUAGCAAUACAUUUAAAUCAUCA